rnacentral:rRNA from 1 species
UAAUGCCUAGGGAUCUGCCCAGUCGAGGGGGAUAACAGUUGGAAACGACUGCUAAUACCGCAUACGCCCUACGGGGGAAAGGAGGGGACCUUCGGGCCUUCCGCGAUUGGAUGAACCUAGGUGGGAUUAGCUAGUUGGUGAGGUAAUGGCUCACCAAGGCGACGAUCCCUAGCUGUUCUGAGAGGAUGAUCAGCCACACUGGGACUGAGACACGGCCCAGACUCCUACGGGAGGCAGCAGUGGGGAAUAUUGCACAAUGGGGGAAACCCUGAUGCAGCCAUGCCGCGUGUGUGAAGAAGGCCUUCGGGUUGUAAAGCACUUUCAGUAGGGAGGAAAGGUUGCAGUUUAAUAAACUGUAGCUGUGACGUUACCUACAGAAGAAGGACCGGCUAACUCCGUGCCAGCAGCCGCGGUAAUACGGAGGGUCCGAGCGUUAAUCGGAAUUACUGGGCGUAAAGCGUGCGCAGGCGG